UACGUAGGCAGCGAGCGUUGUUCGGAGUUACUGGGCGUAAAGAGUGUGUAGGCGGUGCUCUAAGUUCGGUGUGAAAUCUCCCGGCUUAACUGGGAGGGUGCGCCGGAAACUGGAGUGCUCGAGCGUGGGAGAGGAAAGCGGAAUUCCUGGUGUAGCGGUGAAAUGCGUAGAUAUCAGGAGGAACACCUGCGGUGUAGACGGCUUUCUGGACCAUUGCUGACGCUGAGACACGAAAGCGUGGGUAGCAAACAGG
rnacentral:rRNA from 1 species